CUAGCGUGAACUCGCCAAGGUGCCGCCUCUCGGGGCGGAGAAUUGGGAAGCCGGUGAGAUUCCGGCGCUGCCCCCGCAACGGUAAGGGAGGGCGUUCCGGCGAUAUGCCACUGGGCCGGUCAUGGUCCGGGAAGGUGCGGGAAUGCAGGGUCGAAAGGCCCGCCAUCCAAGCCCGGAAACCAGCCGUGGUGCUACGUCGAAC
rnacentral:ncRNA from 1 species